rnacentral:tRNA from 1 species
UGUGGCUCAGUGGUAGAGCAUUUGCUUGGCAUGCACAAGGCCCUGGGUUCAAUCCCAGUA